GACGAACCGUGCGACCGUUGUUCGGAAUCACUGGGCUUAAAGGGCGCGUAGGCGGGCCUUCAAGUCCGGGGUGAAAUCCUCCAGCCUAACUGGAGAAGAGCCUCGGAGACUGAGGGCCUCGAGGGAGGUAGGGGCAAGCGGAACUAUGGGUGGAGCGGUGAAAUGCAUUGAUAUCCAUAGGAACUCCGGUGGCGAAGGCGGCUUGCUGGACCUCUUCUGACGCUGAGGCGCGAAAGCCAGGGGAGCAAACGGG
rnacentral:rRNA from 1 species